rnacentral:rRNA from 1 species
UACGAAGGGGGCUAGCGUUGUUCGGAAUUACUGGGCGUAAAGCGCACGUAGGCGGAUGUCUAAGUCGGGGGUGAAAGCCUUGGGCUCAACCCAAGAAUUGCCUUCGAUACUGGAUAUCUUGAGACCGGGAAAGGUGAGUGGAAUUCCGAGUGUAGAGGUGAAAUUCGUAGAUAUUCGGAAGAACACCAGUGGCGAAGGCGGCUCACUGGCCCGGUACUGACGCUCAGGUGCGAAAGCGUGGGGAGCAACA